AGCGAACGCUGGCGGCAGGCCUAACACAUGCAAGUCGAGCGCCCCGCAAGGGGAGCGGCAGACGGGAGAGUAACACGUGGGAACGUGCCCUUUGGUUCGGAACAACCCAGGGAAACUUGGGCUAAUACCGGAUAAGCCCUCACGGGGAAAGAUUUAUCGCCAAAGGAUCGGCCCGCGUCUGAUUAGCAGGAUGGUGGGGUAACGGCCCACCAAGGCGACGAUCAGUAGCUGGUCUGAGAGGAGGAUCGGCCUCACUGGGACGGGGACACGGCGCAGACUCCUACGGGAGGCAGCAGUGGGGAGUAUUGGACAAUGGGCGCAAGCCUGAUCCAGCCAUGCCGCGUGGGUGAUGAAGGCCCUAGGGUUGUAAAGCCCUUUCGGCGGGGAAGAUAAUGACAGUACCCGCAGAAGAAGCCCCGGCUAACUUCGUGCCAGCCGCCGCAGUAA
rnacentral:rRNA from 1 species